rnacentral:rRNA from 1 species
UACGUAGGGUGCGAGCGUUGUCCGGAAUUAUUGGGCGUAAAGGGCUCGUAGGCGGUUUGUCGCGUCGGGAGUGAAAUCCACUGGCUUAACUGGUGGCUUGCUUUCGAUACGGGCAGACUGGAGGUAUGCAGGGGAGAACGGAAUUCCUGGUGUAGCGGUGAAAUGCGCAGAUAUCGGGAGGAACACCAGUGGCGAAGGCGGCUCUCUGGGGUAUUUCUGACGCUGAGGCACGAAAGCCAGGGGAGCGAACGGG